UACAGAGGGGGCAAGCGUUGUUCGGAAUUACUGGGCGUAAAGGGCGCGUAGGCGGCCUGUUAAGUCGAACGUGAAAUCCCCGGGCUCAACCCGGGAACUGCGUCCGAUACUGGCAGGCUUGAAUUCGGGAGAGGGAUGUGGAAUUCCAGGUGUAGCGGUGAAAUGCGUAGAUAUCUGGAGGAACACCGGUGGCGAAGGCGGCACCCUGGACCGAUAUUGACGCUGAUGCGCGAAAGCCAGGGGAGCAAACGGG
rnacentral:rRNA from 1 species